CACAAUAAUCGGCAGUAGAAAACUCUAGAGACAUUGCAUCCCAGUUGGCUUCAACAAAACCUCCUUCAAAACAACUCCACCGCCUGGAAAAACACACUUCAUUCAUAUCAAACGUUACUUCCAUCAAUCAACAGCAAUCAAUAUUCACCCACUUCCUACCCACUUUCCUUCUUGAGAGAAACCAAACAUUUGAAGCUUACUGCAAAACUCCCCCCACUUCCUCCUCCGCCAUCCGACCCCUCGACUCCCUCUGGCUCUCCGUCCAUCUCCUCUCCUCAUCCGCCACGGCCUCAGCCCCACGAGGAACUCGAUUACAGAUAAGUAAAAACUCUAUUUUUAAGACCGUCAGUCGCUAUUAUAUGGGCAACACUAUUAGAGAACCUGUUGAUAAAACGAAACCCACAAUAGUCAAAGUUUAAACUCCGAACCUUUGAAUCUCUAAUUAUUGCAGCUAUUUCAGAUCUAUUCUCGUUUACAUUUGCAGUUUACGAAUCACCGUCCGAGAGUCCCCUUCCACUUCCACCUCCUUGAGUCCAAGUUGAACACCCAGAUCAAGAGCCUGAAAGCAUGCCAAUGCUUCAGCCGCAACCGCAGACGGUACGUUCACAUGUAAAACUGAUCUAGAGCAAACAACUUCUGCCUUUUCAUUCCUUACCACUAACCCAGAACACGAUUCUCUUCGUUGUCUGUUGCAAGCGGCAUCAAAAUUAAUUUUGAUUCGCGGGCAAAUCGGAGCGACCCAUCUGACAUUAUUGACACUUCUCUCAGGUAAAGGCGCUUUCGCCCCAUCUAACUCCUUAAUGUAGUUAAGCACAAACUCAGCAACUUGAGCGCCCGAUUUCAUUUCCCCCUCAUGUAGAAAUCUAUUUCUAGAUGUCCAAAUCGCCCAUAGUGCACAAGAGAUCAAUCUGCACUUGGAAAUAGACUGAGAAACAAAAAAAUUCAUUAGAUCUGCAUGAAAAUCAGAAUCCACUGUCGGGCUAGUCCAAGAUAAAUUUAACUUCUCCCAUGUUUCUUUUGCGACAGGACAGUCCCUGAACAAGUGCAUCCCCGUUUCUGCUCCCGAAUGACACCUCCAGCACAUGGUAGAAUCAAUCAGCCUUCUGUAGUGUAGAUUACUGUAGUUAGGCAGAAAAUUACGAGUGCAACGCCAGAUUGUAAUUUUAAUUUUAAAAGGCAGCUCUAGGCUCCAAAGUCGCUUGUAAAAUUGUUUGUAACAAGUCUGUAAUUGAUCCUGGCCUUCUUGUAAAAGAAUCUUGUACCCACUUCGGACCGAGUACACACUCCCCAGUCGGCUUUCCACUCCAAGUAAGUUGGUCCACAUGCGUACUUAAUGACAAAGGAAUACUCAAAAUACGCUCAGCAACACUCUCACCGGGAAGUUAUUAUAAAUUAACUCAGCGUUCCAUCUUCUUGUAACAGUGUCAAUCAGAUCCGCAACCUUUAUUAAACCCUCAUUGAAAAUUGGACUCUGAAUUCUAACUUCUUCUAGUUCAG
rnacentral:lncRNA from 1 species